GGAGAGGUGCCAGAGUGGCCGAAUGGGCUUGACUCGAAAUCAAGAGAAGGCGCAAGCCUUCCGUGGGUUCGAAUCCCACCCUCUCCGCCA
rnacentral:tRNA from 1 species